rnacentral:lncRNA from 1 species
UUCAACAUGUAUUUGAGAAAAAUGUUCAACCCAUAAAUGGAAAUACUCAAUGUGUAUGUGAAAACUGAUCAUCAUGUAUAUGAAAAAUGUUCUAUGUGCAUUUGAAAAAUGUUUGCGUGUAUUUCAGAAAUGAAGGAAAAAAUGAAAGGAAAGGAAGACAAUAAUAAAUAAAUGAGCACAAAAAAAAAGGAGAAAAUCGAAAGGAAAAAAAUCGAUAUAGAAAACACGUAGAAAAGAACACGCGAAAUUUUAGAUAGUCCAAACCGGUCCAUAGCUUUCUAAAACCGCUCCCACAAAAACCACAGAACACACCUGGGUCGUCAUGCUAGCGGUGCUAAGGGCGAGACAAGAUGAGCUACCGCCUCGUAAAGAGUGAGAUAUAGCUAUCGUGUUGUUUGGUACACAUGGGAUUGGGACCAGGGAUGGAGCUUAGUUGAAACAAAAGUGAGCGGUGGUCUGCCUAGCCUUGGGCCAAAUCAUUGAAUAAGGUGAAACUGGGUUCGAGAAGCUAAACUCGUGUGUUUUUCUUCAAUCUGGCCCGCCCAAUAAUAUUUUGGUACCUCCACCACUGCUUUGCGAGGGCUUUCAUGGGAUUUUCCCUGUUGGGCUGAAAAGCCCAAAAAUACCCAGAGUGACGUUUUGGACACAUGGUUUGAUAGGAUCUGCCUCGUUCUAUCUCGUGAAUUCCCUCCAUCGAGGUGGACCGGGCAGCUUCGACCUUCCUUCGACCGAGGUAGAUCUGAGACGAUGCACACUACUGCAAAGUAAAAGUGCAUUUAGUCCCUGGUGGUAUUUUAAUGUGAUGACAAUGUGGUUAGUGAGAAUCUAACAGUUAACAAAUGGUUUGCAUGUUUCAAAAACAAGCUCAUGGCAUUUACGCAUAAUGUUCAAUGUGUGUUAAAAAUAUUCAUCGUGUAUCAAAAAAUGUUCAACAUGUAUUUGAGAAAAAUGUUCAACCCAUAAAUGGAAAUACUCAAUGUGUAUGUGAAAACUGAUCAUCAUGUAUAUGAAAAAUGUUCUAUGUGCAUUUGAAAAAUGUUUGCGUGUAUUUCAGAAAUGAAGGAAAAAAUGAAAGGAAAGGAAGACAAUAAUAAAUAAAUGAGCACAAAAAAAAGGAGAAAAUUGAAAGGAAAAAAAUCGAUAUAGAAAACACGUAGAAAAGAACACGCGAAAUUUUAGAUAGUCCAAACCGGUCCAUAGCUUUCUAAAACCGCUCCCACAAAAACCACAGAACACACAUGGGUCGUCAUGCUAGCGGCGCUAGGGGCGAGACAAGAUGAGCUACCGCCUCGUAAAGAGUGAGAUAUAGCUAUCGUGUUGUUUGGUACACAUGGGAUUGGGACCAGGGAUGGAGCUUAGUUGAAACAAAAGUGAGCGGUGGUCUGCCUAGCCUUGGGCCAAAUCAUUGAAUAAGGUGAAACUGGGUUCGGGAAGCUAAACUCGUGUGUUUUUCUUCAAUCUGGCCCGCCCAAUAAUAUUUUGGUACCUCCACCACUGCUUUGCGAGGGCUUUCAUGGGAUUUUCCCUGCUGGGCUGAAAAGUCCAAAAAUACCCAGAGUGACGUUUUGGACACAUGGUUUGAUAGGAUCUGCCUCGUUCUAUCUCGUGAAUUCCCUCCAUCGAGGUGGACCGGGCAGCUUCGACCUUCCUUCGACCGAGGUAGAUCUGAGACGAUGCACGCUACUGCCAAGUAAAAGUGCAUUUAGUCCCUGGUGGUAUUUUAAUGUGAUGACAAUGUGGUUAGUGAGAAUCUAACAGUUAACAAAUGGUUUGCAUGUUUAAAAAACAUGUUCAUGGCAUUUACGCAUAAUGUUCAAUGUGUGUUAAAAAUAUUCAUCGUGUAUCAAAAAAUGUUCAACAUGUAUUUGAGAAAAAUGUUCAACCCAUAAAUGGAAAUACUCAAUGUGUAUGUGAAAACUGAUCAUCAUGUAUAUGAAAAAUGUUCUACGUGCAUUUGAAAAAUGUUUGCGUGUAUUUCAGAAAUGAAGGAAAAAAUGAAAGGAAAGGAAGACAAUAAUAAAUAAAUGAGCACAAAAAAAAGGAGAAAAUUGAAAGGAAAAAAAUCGAUAUAGAAAACACGUAGAAAAGAACACGCGAAAUUUUAGAUAGUCCAAACCGGCCCAUAGCUUUCUAAAACCGCUCCCACAAAAACCACAGAACACACCUGGGUCGUCAUGCUAGCGGCGCUAGGGGCGAGACAAGAUGAGCUACCGCCUCGUAAAGAGUGAGAUAUAGCUAUCGUGUUGUUUGGUACACAUGGGAUUGGGACCAGGGAUGGAGCUUAGUUGAAACAAAAGUGGGCGGUGGUCUGCCUAGCCUUGGGCCAAAUCAUUGAAUAAGGUGAAACUGGGUUCGGGAAGCUAAACUCGUGUGUUUUUCUUCAAUCUGGCCCGCCCAAUAAUAUUUUGGUACCUCCACCACUGCUUGCGAGGGCUUUCAUGGGAUUUUCCCUGUUGGGCUGAAAAGCCCAAAAAUACCCAGAGUGACGUUUUGGACACAUGGUUUGAUAGGAUGCCUCGUUCUAUCUCAUGAAUUCCCUCCAUCGAGGUGGACCGGGCAGCUUCGGCCUUCCUUCGACCGAGGUAGAUCUGAGACGAUGCACGCUACUGCCAAGUAAAAGUGCAUUUAGUCCCUGGUGGUAUUUUAAUGUGAUGACAAUGUGGUUAAUGAGAAUCUAGCAGUUAACAAAUGGUUUGCAUGUUUAAAAAACAUGUUCAUGGCAUUUACGCAUAAUGUUCAAUGUGUGUUAAAAAUAUUCAUCGUGUAUCAAAAAAUGUUCAACAUGUAUUUGAGAAAAAUGUUCAACCCAUAAUUGGAAAUACUCAAUGUGUAUGUGAAAACUGAUCAUCAUGUAUAUGAAAAAUGUUCUAUGUGCAUUUGAAAAAUGUUUGCGUGUAUUUCAGAAAUGAAGGAAAAAAUGAAAGGAAAGGAAGACAAUAAUAAAUAAAUGAGCACAAAAAAAGGAGAAAAUCGAAAGGAAAAAAUCGAUAUAGAAAACACGUAGAAAAGAACACGCGAAAUUUCAGAUAGUCCAAACCGGUUCAUAGCUUUCUAAAACCGCUCCCACAAAAACCACAGAACACACCUGGGUCGGCAUGCUAGCGGCGCUAGGGGCGAGACGAGAUGAGCUACCGCCUCGUAAAGAGUGAGAUAUAGCUCUCCUGUUGUUUGGUACACAUGGGAUUGGGAGCAGGGAUGGAGCUUAGUUGAAACAAAAGUGGGCGGUGGUCUGCCUAGCCUUGGGCCAAAUCAUUGAAUAAGGUGAAACUGGGUCUGGGAAGCUAAACUCGUGUGUUUUUCUUCAAUCUGGCCCGCCCAAUAAUAUUUUGGUACCUCCACCACUGCUUGUGAGGGCUUUCAUUGGAUUUCCCCUGUUGGGCUGAAAAGCCCAAAAAUACCCAGAGUGACGUUUUGGACACAUGGUUUGAUAGGAUCUGCCUUGUUCUAUCUCGUGAAUUCCCUCCAUCGAGGUGGACCGGGCAGCUUCGACCUUUCCUUCGACCGAGGUAGAUCCGAGACGAUGCACGCUACUACCAAGUAAAAGUGCAUUUAGUCCCUGGUGGUAUUUUAAUGUGAUGACAACGUGGUUAGUGAGACUAAUGAUAGUUAUUAAGUUUAAUUAUGUCAGUUCAUUGGUCUCUCGAGGAUUAUCUUAUGGAGAGGUUGACCCCACCCCCCUCCCCCCUUAAAAAGGAAAAAGGCGUGGUUAUUUGAAGACUCAAGAGUUUUCAUUUUUGUUUUCUAUAGUCAUAAUAAGACAACCGGAUUAUUCAGAGGGGUCUGAGGUGCUUGGGUAAGGAGUGAGAUCGUGCAAAACAUACACACUAUCCAUCAUAUACCUACCAUUGUUUCAAGCCCUAAAUCGCACCUCCUUAGUGCCAUUGGUCUGUCUAUCGCGUGUCUACGUACUGAUGGUUCUUUGUGCAGAGGCUAGUAUUCUGUUAUCUUUUAAUUUUCGUGAAGUUGGUGUCUAUGUGGUUAGUAACUUGUCUUUUUAUUUUAUGAAUGAGAAAUGUAUUCCCGUGCAAAAAAAAGUACGUUAUGUAGAUCUUUACGACUACGAAGAUCUAAUAGUUGUGAUAUGUUUAAUUAAUAUCGAUCAUCGGGUGAAGUGCCGGAUGCCUUACUUUUCCUUUGAUUCUUUAGCCCAAAAGGUUUCUUCGUAUUAGGAAUUUAGUACUAGUACAUUGGAUGGGAAUAUCUGAAGUUUCUUUUUGCGUCACAGUAUUCAAUCCAUGCAU